UUUUACUAUGCUAAGGUACAUUCCUUCUAUCCCCAGGUUUUUUUUUAGGAUUUGUAUUAUGAAGAGUGAGGACCAUCUUUGAUGUUUACAUGAAGCCACUACCCUGCUUUAUUCUUUAUAUUUGUGCUGAGAAUAUUGUUCAAAAACAUGAUGCUGCUGCUCAUUGAUCUGCCCUACCCAGAAUCACUUGAAGGCCUCCACAUUCCAAAGCAGUUCUCAAACAACUAUCUGUGCAGGUACAUGGGUUCUGGUGAAGCGCCCCACAAGACGUGAUAUGCAGGAAUGAGGAAAUACACAUAGACUCAGACUUCUGCAGCAACCAGUAUAUGUAUUUAUACCUACAUGUUUGAAAAGUCUCCUGUAUUGAAUUUCAAUUAUGAAUGAAGAAAAGAAGAAAGCAACUGACUUAAGUCUUCAAAUUAAAAUUAGCCUUAUGCUACAUUACCCUCAAAUUGGUCUGAAAUUCAUAUUUAGAUGAAUUUAGUUGAAAUAUAUAUAUGCUAUAAAAUGUUCAGAUAACCCCCACUAUAUUUAUGAUAAUGAAAUUAGCUUGCAUUUUCUUUUAUUAAUGUUUUUAUAGAUACUGUGUAGAUACUGAAAAUUUUCUUCAAUUUUCUUCUUUCUAACCCAAUUAUCAAAAGGAAAAUUACAACGAAAUACACUGC
rnacentral:lncRNA from 10 species